rnacentral:lncRNA from 1 species
ACAGACUUCUUAGGCACAAAGUGUUUGCUGUAGUACUUAAAGGAAUGCAGCAUGUAAGGAAUGAAGCCUCUGAAAUAGUAAUCAUGGAUGUAUAUGUGGCAGACCUUACUGUGUCUACACAUUCGGGAGUGUUAGUCGGUUUAAGGAAAUGAUAGAGAUUUUGAACUACUGACAAUCUUAAAAGUGAACUUAAAAACUUUUCAUACUUUUUAUGGUGUAAAUUUCCUUUGCUUGGUGUCAGUGAUUCAGAUAACUCUUGAUCUUGAGGUAUAGGCUUUUCAAAGGUUUCUUAUAUUUUAUAUCUCUUCUGAGUGAGAAUUGUCAUUUUACAUUUUUGACAUUUGUAUCAAAAGAGGAGUUGAGGAAAUCUUCAGAACACCAGUAACUUUUAAAUUCACUAUAGACUUCAGAAGUGUUUGAUUAUGUGUUAGAUAAAUGCUCUUGCAUGUGCAGACUCUUCUGCCAGCAAACCCAAGGGACCACAGCCUUUUUUAUAUGAGACAGGUCACUCUAGAGGACUGUCCAGAAUUUAUCAAAGGAAAUGCUACUGUGUCGAAAAGUAUCUUAAGUAAGUAUUAAUAAUGUCUUUAUAAUUUGUUUCCUUUAGAUAAAUUCUGGAAUUUGUAUAUUCUAUACAGCAGGAGGUGUAAAAAUUGGGAAGUGGUUUCUCGUUGUUUGGUUUUUGUUUGGAUCUGGGAGUGGGUGGCUCUUCGGAGAUCUAAUGGUAAGAGUAGAAGUUCAUUAUCACAAGAAAUAACCAUAGUGAUUUUUUUCUUAGUGUGUAGAGGUUGUUUUAUGGCAAUAAUUAAUAUUAGAUUUCUAUUUCAGUACAUAAGUAUAAUGAAUUAUAAUAUGAAUUGCACUCCCAGAACUAGAUAUCUGCUUCAGUAGGUUUGUUUGCUGUGAAGAUUACUUCUCAAAAGACAAAUGUUCAUACUAGCUUAAUUUUUGGUUUAAAUAUGUUUGUAAAUGAUGUAAUAUAUUUCUUUUGACUAAACAUGGGAAAAAUAAUGUGUGUUAUAC